GGGGAAUAUUGGGCAAUGGGGGAAACCCUGACCCAGCAACGCCGCGUGAAGGAAGAAGGCUUUCGGGUUGUAAACUUCUUUUAGCAGGGACGAAGGACGUGACGGUACCUGCAGAAAAAGCAACGGCUAACUACGUGCCAGCAGCCGCGGUAAUACGGAGGAUGCGAGCGUUAUCCGGAUUUAUUGGGUUUAAAGGGUGCGCAGGCGGAGGCGCAAGUCAGCGGUAAAAUCGCGGGGCUCAACCCCGCUCCGCCGUUGAAACUGUGUCCCUUGAGUGCGCGAAGGGCAGGCGGAAUGCGUGGUGUAGCGGUGAAAUGCAUAGAUAUCACGCAGAACUCCGAUCGCGAAGGCAGCCUGCCGGCGCGCAACUGACGCUCAUGCACGAAAGCGUGGGUAUCGAACAGG
rnacentral:rRNA from 1 species